UACGGAGGGUGCGAGCGUUGUCCGGAAUCACUGGGCGUAAAGGGCGCGUAGGCGGCAGGCCAAGCGUGCGGUGAAAGUCCGGGGCUCAACCCCGGAUCUGCCGUGCGGACUGGUUUGCUAGAGCACUGUAGAGGCGAGUGGAAUUCCGGGUGUAGCGGUGGAAUGCGUAGAGAUCCGGAAGAACACCGGUGGCGAAGGCGGCUCGCUGGGCAGUGGCUGACGCUGAGGCGCGAAAGCCAGGGGAGCAAACGGG
rnacentral:rRNA from 1 species